rnacentral:lncRNA from 1 species
GUCUCGGAUGGUCGGGCAGGCAGGUAUUUCGAACACUGCUUGGAUAAAUUGUAUCUACUUUGUCGAGAAAAGUCUGGUCACGUGACAAGCAAAUUAGCCUGUGGUGUUAUGCUUAGUCACCAUUGCGCCGGAGUGGGACCUCAUGCAUGGAGGCAGCCAUUGUGGUCAACUACAAAAGUGAAACUGGCUACUGGUUGUUUGUAAAACCAGGACUGAUCUGACUGCAACAAAUGAAAUGAACUAGGCAUUAUCAGGUGUGAGAAGUUACAGUGGAGUGUUAUAGAAUAGUCUAUACAACCCAACAUGGGGCGUCUGUACAUGAUCCAUAACAUGAUGACUACUGGUUGUUUGUAAAACUAGGACUGAUCUGACUGCAACAAAUGAAAUGAACUAGGCACUAUCAGGUGUGAGAAGUAACAGUGGAGUGUUAUAGAAUAGUCUAUACAACCCAACAUGUACAUAAUCCAUAACAUGCUGGCUACUGGUUGUUUGUAAAACUAGGACUGAUCUGACUGCAACAAAUGAAAUGAACUAGGCACUAUCAGGUGACAUGGGGCGUCUGUACAUAAUCCAUAACAUGCUGGCUAGCGUCGGCAGCAGGCUUGGUGGAAACUGGUUUCCACACAACAUCCUAUUCAUAUCUGUGCUCUAUGUUGUAUUCCAGACAACUGUGUAUAUAUAUAUGAUGAGGCUGCAAGUCAGGAGAGGGUAAGAUGAUGUAUGUGUUAAUGUGUCUGACUGGAUGUGUACAUCAUAGGUUUGUUGAAACUUCUGUUUGAGAGAGAAUGAAAGUCACAAAUUCAUACAUUUAUGUCAUAAAAUCAUGCAAGAGACAAUUUGUGUAUCAUCCAAAGUACUCAUUUCAAGAGCCAAAAAUGUUGAAGUGUAUUGAUAUAUUUAUCUAAAGUUUAGGCAAGUUAAAUGUCACAGUCAUAAGUGGCAUCUUUUGAUAACAAAAAAAAAGAAAGUAUUUUCAACUUUAGGAUGCCUUAUAAGGAUAGUACCUGUUUAUUAGUUUGUAGUGAAUCUCUUACAAGAAGACUAAAUAACUUAGGUGUGAGCACUUUUUUAGCCAUUGACGUCACUCUCACUCUGGGUGGACACACCUUGCUGAGUUAUCUCCCUUUAGGUGCCAGGAUCUGAUGAUUAUGGAUCCCUGUCUGACCCAAAUCCUUGGCACAAGCGGGAUUGGGUGGUCAGGCUCGCUGACUUGGUUGAUACAUGUCAUUGUAUCCCAAUUGCGUGGAUCGACGCUCUUGAUGUCAAUCACUGGAUUAUCUGCACCAGACUUGAUUAUUUACAGACUGCGGUUCAUAGCUAGAAUAGUCCUGAGUGUGGUGUUAAUAAACAAACAAACAAAUUAUGGAUCCCUGGACACCAUGUGUGGCGGUGUCAACCUGUAUGAUUUAAAGCAUUGCUUCCAAAUUAAGCUGACACAGCAAAUAUAUGAAGCAGCAUUAACGAUACACUGCAUGCUUCCUUGAUUCAAGGAAGGAUACAUUAUUUUAUAUGGUACAGUCUGUGCCAAAACACUUUGUAUCCGCCAGCCCUAUUAAGGGUCCAAGCAUCAGUAGAGGUCAGUGGUAUUUGGGCUGUCAUUACAAGACCUUACUAUACUGAACAAAAUUGUACUUGACUCGGGCAGGUGACUAACAGACUGUUCUAGGUAGUUUGUACUCUACUCUUCUCAAAGUCCAAUUGUGCUGAGCCCCCUUGGUGUGUAGAAAGUCCUCUCUAGCCUAAAUACUGUUACUAUCACCCCCUACGCCAAACAUUAUUUCUGUGCACGCCACAAACCUACGAGCCAGAAACCUACAAUCGUUGGUUCAAAUCCCAGUUGGGGCACUGGUGGCCCAGUUGUCUAAGGCAUGCAAGAAACCUAUGAUCGUGGGUUCGAAUCCCGGUUCGUCCCGAUUGUGUUUCUAGGUUUGUCAGGACCAUAUUUGGGUUUCACCGAAGUGAAGACCUUCACGUCUGAGGCCUGAGGCCUGCAUCACUUCGGGCUUUCCUCUCAAAUUAAACUGACAUGCUGCGAUGUAACUGUAAUACUGUUAAAAGCGGAGUUAAUCCCAACUCACUCACUCACUCACUUGAAUCCCGGUUCACCCAUGUUAUGUUACUAGGUUUGUCCACACCAUACCCGUGCUGAUGGGUUACACCAAAACCUGCAUCAUUUCGGUCUUUCCACCACAUUAGGCUGAUAGGCCAGAUAUAACAGGAAUACUGUUAAAAGCUGCAUUAAACCCAACUCAUUCAGUCAGGUCAUAGUACAAUACAAUGAAGUGUGUAAGUAUACAGGUCACCAAGGUGUGCUUCAAACGAAACUGGAGUAGCAUCUGAAACUGAAAGGAAGGGAGAUAACUCCGAAGUUAUUUAACCCAACUUAGCUGAGGCACCCCAUGCUCUGUACCUAGGUCCUAUAACCUUAUAGUAAUGACUAGCUGUGAGACUGUAACCAGAUGUGUAUAUUGUGUGCUUGUGCCGAAGUGUUUGUUCUUAUAUUUAUAUUAUUAUCAUCACGAUGAUCUCAUGGUCAUUGUUUGCACUGGAUUGUUAAAAGUCCACUUUGACUGUCGGUUAAUUCCCUUGCCUCGGGAAGAUGAGCCAACUCCGCAUGUCUAGUGGACUGUGUGUGUAUGGUCGGUUAUGUCAUGUAAUAAAUGUUUUAUGUAAACAGAA